CUACGGGCGGCUGCAGUGGGGAAUAUUGGGCAAUGGGGGAAACCCUGACCCAGCAACGCCGCGUGAAGGAAGAAGGCUUUCGGGUUGUAAACUUCUUUGACGAGGGACGAAUAAAUGACGGUACCUCGAAAACAAGCCACGGCUAACUACGGUGCCAGCAGCCGCGGUAAUACGUAGGUGGCAAGCGUUGUCCGGAUUUACUGGGUGUAAAGGGCGCGUAGGCGGGAGCGCAAGUCAGAUGUGAAAUCUGGGGGCUUAACCCUCAAACUGCAUUUGAAACUGUGUUUCUUGAGUGAUGGAGAGGCAGGCGGAAUUCCUAGUGUAGCGGUGAAAUGCGUAGAUAUUAGGAGGAACACCAGUGGCGAAGGCGGCCUGCUGGACAUUAACUGACGCUGAGGCGCGAAAGCGUGGGGAGCAAACAGGAUUAGAUACCCUAGUAGUC
rnacentral:rRNA from 1 species